rfam:Chelonia mydas contig48565, whole genome shotgun sequence.
GGCAGUGUUACCUAGUGGGUAGGGCACUGAACCAGGACUCAGGGAAUUUGGGUUCAACUCCCAGCUCUGCUG